UAAAGACAUUUAUUCAAUGUUAUCCAUAUUAUAUUUCAUCUGCAACAGCAUUGUGAACUUUUUUUAAAAAAGAUAUAUUUGGUCAUUAACUUUUAAAUGCAUCAUUAUGCAAACACAUAAGGAGAGUCUUCACUUGAAAGAUCCACGACUGGCAGAUUUUUCUCCGAUAUGUUUGGAAAUUAAAUUAAAUUGAAUGUGGAGGAUUGUAACUGUGCAUACUUUUAGGGCAUAGUAUAAGUAGGCAAACUGGGAUGCAGCAAAAGUGUUACCAAAUGCUUUUUCAGAAACGGCUAAAUGUUUUUUUUCUCUGUUGUCUCUGAGGACCAGAAUUUCCCGUCUCUUUGUCCUCGGAUUCCUCUUCAUUGUCAGUGGGAUGAUAACAAAUGAAAUAGGCAGGGUUCCUUCCCGAAUGAUUCAGACAGAGAGAUGGGGCGCGGUGUGAUCUGACUAAAAGCUAAGGAGAGCAUGAUGAUCAUGCAGGUGAUUCAAAGCUGCCUGCUGGUUGUGAUGUCAAUUCCCGACAGUGGCACCUUAACGUGGAGUCAGCAUGCCUGACCGGACCACCUACAGCCCCCAGCAGAGCAGCUUCGACUGGAGGAGGAGGGAUGGAUUCACUGAUUUGACUAGUGGCUCAUAAUUCAAACAAGUCACAGAAGACACAAGUACAGACAAACGAGAGCACCUCUUACAUAGUGCUUUGUUUGUAACCAUGUGUCGAAUGUAUACUGACCUCAAUGAUUACAAUAUUAGCUUUUUUUAAAAAAAGAAAGAAAAAAAAAGAAAGUAUG